rnacentral:rRNA from 1 species
AACGAACGCUGGCGGCGCGCCUAAUACAUGCAAGUCGAGCGAGAAGACGUAGCAAUACGUUUGUAAAGCGGCGAACGGGUGAGGAAUACAUGGGUAACCUACCCUCGAGUGGGGAAUAACUAGCCGAAAGGUUAGCUAAUACCGCGUACGCUCCUUGGACUUCGGUUCAGGGAGGAAAGCGAUACCGUGGGUAUCGCGCUCUUGGAUGGGCUCAUGUCCUAUCAGCUUGUUGGUGAGGUAACGGCUCACCAAGGCUUCGACGGGUAGCUGGUCUGAGAGGACGAUCAGCCACACUGGCACUGCGACACGGGGCCAGACUCCUACGGGAGGCAGCAGUAAGGAAUAUUGCGCAAUGGGCGAAAGCCUGACGCAGCGACGCCGCGUGGGGGAUGAAGGUCUUCGGAUUGUAAACCCC